CAGAUUUUAAAGCGAAGUCUAAAUUAAGGAACAACACUCCUAAAUUUCAAUUUGGAGCAAACAAGCUACCAUAAGUAUUUUUCUGAAAGCUGUGGAAAUAUUAUCCAACGUAAAAGCACAGAUGCUAUUUUAAAACUCAGGUUCUUGGAACCUGCGUUCUUCCUUUCAUUUUCCGAUUAUUUGCCACCUGACAUCUUACUUCACAAGUCCCGAAAAGCUUGCAACACCUUCCCGCGAGGCUCUUCCCAACGCCAAGAGUACAGACAUGAAAGUCGGAAGGCAUCAAGUUUCAGCUCCCUGAGUGAUGGAAGAUCAUUCGGCCACGAGGACCUUCGAAGUUGGCCCCGUCUACAGCUUCUGCCACAGCGGACUGACAAGCUCCAAGCGACUGGAGGACUAGUAUGCAAAUUUCAGAUGAUUGACACCUACAGUAGAAACCAAUCACGCUGGAGUAGGUUGCUGGUUGGUUGGCAACGAUUUGACGUAAAAUUGACGUUUCAAAAAGCUAACAUCCAAUCAAGGCAACUCAUGCAAAUAAAGGAAGGAGUCACGUUACCAAGGGCCCGGGA
rnacentral:lncRNA from 1 species